rnacentral:rRNA from 1 species
GGGUUGUGAGGUUAAGCGACUAAGCGUACACGGUGGAUGCCCUGGCAGUCAGAGGCGAUGAAGGACGUGCUAAUCUGCGAUAAGCGUCGGUAAGGUGAUAUGAACCGUUAUAACCGGCGAUUUCCGAAUGGGGAAACCCAGUGUGUUUCGACACACUAUCAUUAACUGAAUCCAUAGGUUAAUGAGGCGAACCGGGGGAACUGAAACAUCUAAGUACCCCGAGGAAAAGAAAUCAACCGAGAUUCCCCCAGUAGCGGCGAGCGAACGGGGAGCAGCCCAGAGCCUGAAUCAGUGUGUGUGUUAGUGGAAGCGUCUGGAAAGGCGCGCGAUACAGGGUGACAGCCCCGUACACAAAAAUGCACAUGCUGUGAGCUCGAUGAGUAGGGCGGGACACGUGGUAUCCUGUCUGAAUAUGGGGGGACCAUCCUCCAAGGCUAAAUACUCCUGACUGACCGAUAGUGAACCAGUACCGUGAGGGAAAGGCGAAAAGAACCCCGGCGAGGGGAGUGAAAAAGAACCUGAAACCGUGUACGUACAAGCAGUGGGAGCACGCUUAGGCGUGUGACUGCGUACCUUUUGUAUAAUGGGUCAGCGACUUAUAUUCUGUAGCAAGGUUAACCGAAUAGGGGAGCCGAAGGGAAACCGAGUCUUAACUGGGCGUUAAGUUGCAGGGUAUAGACCCGAAACCCGGUGAUCUAGCCAUGGGCAGGUUGAAGGUUGGGUAACACUAACUGGAGGACCGAACCGACUAAUGUUGAAAAAUUAGCGGAUGACUUGUGGCUGGGGGUGAAAGGCCAAUCAAACCGGGAGAUAGCUGGUUCUCCCCGAAAGCUAUUUAGGUAGCGCCUCGUGAAUUCAUCUCCGGGGGUAGAGCACUGUUUCGGCAAGGGGGUCAUCCCGACUUACCAACCCGAUGCAAACUGCGAAUACCGGAGAAUGUUAUCACGGGAGACACACGGCGGGUGCUAACGUCCGUCGUGAAGAGGGAAACAACCCAGACCGCCAGCUAAGGUCCCAAAGUCAUGGUUAAGUGGGAAACGAUGUGGGAAGGCCCAGACAGCCAGGAUGUUGGCUUAGAAGCAGCCAUCAUUUAAAGAAAGCGUAAUAGCUCACUGGUCGAGUCGGCCUGCGCGGAAGAUGUAAC